UUUAUUAACAUGGGCAAGGGGUACCUAGAGCCUUGUUCUGAGGAAUGGAGAAACCAUAUGGGAGAAGUUUUCCCCAGACACAUUUGGCUUGAGGUAGGUACCACUAUUUCGAAUUUACCAGCAACAGGAAAUUAUCUGUUAUAAUAUGAAGCAACAUUGGAUUAAAGUGUUUGAGUAACAUCAGAAUAAAGUAAGUUCUUGAGUGAGUACAAAACUGGAUUGUGAAUAUUCUGGCUUGUUGCAAUUUGUGGCUAAAACACAUGGUCAUGUUUGCACUGCAUUGGGCUAGCAAGGAGUGAAAUGGCUGCUUAUGAAAUCUCUCACUCCUCCCUCACAUUUCCCUUGGACUGAAAACAAGUCAUGAAAUCUUCACUCACCCCUCUGUGCUAUUCCCUGUUCUUCCAGAGAAACACAGGAAUUUCUCAAAUUCCUCCCUUAUUCCCCUUAGAAGAACUUGGGUCCUAUCUCCCUUUCUCUCUUGCUGCAAGUCACCCAGACCAUACACAUACAAGCUGUCAUUCACAUGCUGAAACACACAGGACAUCUCUAGUGCUGGUCAAAGUGUGGUUAACAUUGAAUUCAGACUCUGUUUCUCAGGGUGUCAUCUUGUUGGGUCUUGAAAACAGCCAGUGAUGGAGAUUUCACAGCGUCUCUGGGGAUCCUAUUCCUUUGUCUUUGUUGAAUUUCAUAGUCUUCCUUCCUUAGCAUAUUGCUUCAGCCUGCCUAUGUCCAGUGGAAGAGAAGCCCUGCACCUGAGCAUACCAACUUCAUCACCACAGUUUACUGUCAUGUGCAAAACUGGAAGGGUUGCAUGCUAGUUCCUCCUCCAGCUCACAGAUAGAUUAAAUAUUACAGGACCCAAGACUAACACCUGAGAGACUACACUUGUAACCAAAGUCCAGGGUAGGGCGAGUGAAUGACCCUUGUGGGUGCCUGGCAUUUGUCCAGCGUUGGCCAACACCACCACGACAGUUGUUGUUGUGAUGAAGCACCCAGAGAUAGCUCCAGUUUCAAGUACAUUAUGCCCACACUAAGAGGGAGGGGAUCAAGACAACAGAGUGGAGAAAAAGAGAAGCGGAUUUACCUUUAAAUGACUGACAGUGGAAUCAAUCAGUUACAAAGCAGCACAUGCAUCAAAGCCCAGAGAAUAACUGCUUGAAAAUUUUGAAUUCUUUUCCAAAAGAGAUGUUUUCCAGAAAAGAAGUACAGAAAUGUCUUAACAAUUGGCAUUUCUUUCAAAUAGCUCUUGGGGCAACUUGCCAUGAUUUUAAUAACUGGUUCUCCCAGAUUGAACCAAGGCACCUUCAAGCCCAGCUCUAAACCUCUGAUUGGUGUUACAUUUUCUCCUUCUGCUCUGGCCAGGAUGGAGAUAACUCGCUGCAUCCUCCUGCCAGUGGCAAAUUCCAUGCUCUCUAGAAGAAAGAGCAAACAAAGAUUGUGGCAAGGGCAAGAGGGCAGGGCAGAUAACUGUAACUAGGGCAGCUGCCACACCUCAUCCUGCCUGUAACUCUGGAUCUGAGCUGCUGUGUUCCUGAGCAACGCUGGAGGCACUGACAGUCCAUUUUCCCUCGGGCUCACUGGUACUCUGGGAUAGCUGUGGGUGGGAAACCUAAAAGAUCACUUAAAUUUUUAAUUAGGCUUGAACAGGUGUCAAUACCUUAAAAGAGGAAAAGGAUUAAAAAUUCUAGUAUAAGAGCCAAAGGAUAUGUUUGUUGCCAGGGUUAAACAAGAAUGUGAAGGAAGAUUUGUGCCUGGAGCAGGUACUUGCAUGGAUCUGACAGUGGAGAAGAAGGAGGUUGUCACAGAGGAACUUCAUUCAGCCCCUGCCCAAACCCCAGGCUCUGCUUGUACAUAAAUGGGGCUUGUGUUAUCACCUCGUCAACAAUGGCUGGGCAGCCCAAAGAAGGUCCCUGCUCAACGUCCCAGGGAGCUGCUUCAGAAGCCACCAACAGCACCAGUUUUAUUUAUUUUCAGCCAUACUUCCAAAUUCUUCCUGGAGUCUUACAAAGAGCAAGCCCUUCUCAAAAAAGCUUACAAACCAACACCAAACAGAAAACUACUCAUUUCAGCAGCUCAGCUGAAGGCCCAAGGACAGGACUGGUGAGUUCAAAGAACAGUACUGGAGAUGUUUUUCAAACUUCAAGCCUUUACCUUGGACUGUCUUAAUUUUAUUGGAUCGCUUUUGUGCUGCAUUCUGGACCCUCCUGCUGUCUGCUCCUCUGCAUCAGCUUAUCUUGUCUGUUUGAGAACCAUCAUAUUAUGUUUAACAGAGUUUUUACUUUGGAAGGAACUACUACUGGUAAAGAGGACUGCUGCCUGCUGAACAUCCAAGGAAGAAGUUUUUCUCUUGGGAAAUACUCUGAGCAGGGAGAAGGCAGCCAGAAGCUCAGCAAUCCUCCUUUAAUCCAAGGCAUGGAGCAGUCCUCUUGCCUGCUGAGGACUGUCACUCAGCCUGACAAGAAGGCACAGGAGAGGCAGGAGGUGCCAAUUCCCACAGAAGCCUAAGGACAACACGACAGCUCACACUGAUCUCAUCGCAGGAACACUCGCACCAGGAAGUCAGAGGCACCUGUAGCAGGCUCCUGCCUCACCUUCUCUUGUGUCAUGGAUUAUUUGCCAAAUAGAUUUUAUGUCUCUGGAUGAAAUUUGAGCCCAUAAAGAAGCACUGCAAGUCUGAAAGCCUUGAAAUGGACAGGGCAUUCUAGUCUUGUUGUUCUGUAUCCAGUUAUUAUUUGACAGUAGAAGGGAAGAUGAUAAUUAAUCUGAGAUUCAAAAAAAGAAAGCAUAAGUGGGGAAGAAAAGAAACCAAGCAAAUGCUUCACUAUUUACAGCUGAAACUCCUAAGUGUGAUCUUGUGAAUAGGUGUUAUAACCUGGAAAUGUUUUAGAAAGGCAGAAUUUUGCAUGUGUUGUUGGAAGCAAGUGGUAAUGAGUGUUGGUAGGUGCAGGUACCCAUUCCAGUGCCUGUCCUGGGAAGCUUGCUUUCAUUAUGUGACUAAAUCAGCCUUCAGGUGGUUUAAAGCUUAUUGUUGUUUGGUUGGUACUUGUAGCAUUUUAUUAUUCAUCAUCACUAAUUUCUGAAAAGCGUAGCUUUAGGUCUAAACUAGAUAUAUGGAUAUAGAGAAGCCAGAAUGGCUACCAGUCAUGCUAGCUACCAGUCAUACAAGUGAUUCUGCACCUCUGGUCCAUGUACCACUUCAAUUUAGGGCCAAAUAAAGCCCCUGGUGAUGAAGACACCUGACACACAAAAUUUCAUAGGGAACAAGACAUGCAGCCCACUUAAAACACUUAAAAGUGUUUCCUUCUGACAUUAGAAUGGGAAAUUAAAGUAUCUCAAAAUUGAAUAUCCUUAAUUUUAACAGAAAUUUUAUUUAUCAUUUUUGGUUAGUAUUUGUUGCAGGUCAGAGUAAACAAGGUAAAUGACAAAUAUCCAGUGCCCUGGAUUUGCCAACUGCCCCAGUUUAUCAGCUGAAUGCAGGAAUUCUUCUGUGCUUUAAUUUAAAAUACAAAAGCCAGUGGACACAUUCUGCCAAUAAGAAAGUUGCAAUUUGUUUACACACAUUAGCAGAAAGAGCCCAGAUGGGAGCCCAGGGAAUUUUCACUUACAAGCAGUAUCAUCACUGGAGUAAGUGGUUUUAAGUUAAUCUUUAAUAAAAUUACAUUUCAAUAGCAUCACCAGCAAUUUCACAACCAGCUGUGUACUUGAAUCUCUUAAAACUUCUGUCUUUUGAUUUGGACACUGAGCUAAGAAAAAUGCAAAGAUCCAAGAGGAGAUUAAAAGGAAACAAAGUACUGAUCAAAGGCAAAUUAGAUCAGCACAGAAUCUGGGUUAUUCCCAGGUGUAAUGCAGACAAACAGAGUGUGCAGAGAACACCCUUGGUAUCUUAAAGGGUUGGCUUCCUCUGCAGCAGAGCCCAGCCAGUGCUUUGUCAAACCCAUUGCACAGGGCAGCAAACAUGGAUUUUGUGCAAGAGUUGAGGCCAGGCUGCCUCUGUGCUCUGUUCCUCCUUUUUUUGUCACAAGGGAAUGGGAGGAGUGUUUGGUGCUGUCUCACUCAUACGUGACCAGUAUUUCCAAAGGAAAGGGAAAGGAACUUGUGUAAGAUGUUCUGCCUGACUAAACCACCACCUCAAGCAUCAGAUGCUGACCUUUGCUGACAUAAAGGAUCAAGGAGAUCCUUGGGAAUAAAACAUGCUUCUAAAGCAUGUAGAUAUCUCUGCGCAUUUCUGGC